rnacentral:rRNA from 1 species
AAGGUAGCGAAAUUCCUUGUCGGGUAAGUUCCGACCUGCACGAAUGGCGUAACGAGGGCCACACUGUCUCCACCCGAGACUCAGUGAAAUUGAAAUUGCUGUUAAGAUGCAGUAUACCCGCGGCCAGACGGAAAGACCCCGUGCACCUUUACUACAGCUUUGCAUUGAACUCUGAUCCUACCUGUGUAGGAUAGGUGGGAGACUUUGAAACUUUAACGCUAGUUAGAGUGGAGUCAUCCUUGAAAUACCACCCUGGUAUGGUUGGGGUUCUAACCUUGGUCCGUUAUCCGGAUUGGGGACAAUGCAUGGUGGGUAGUUUGACUGGGGCGGUCUCCUCCCAAAGAGUAACGGAGGAGCGCAAAGGUACCCUCAGCACGGUCGGACAUCGUGCAAUGAGCGCAAAGGUAAAAGGGUGCUUGACUGCGAGACUGACACGUCGAGCAGGUAGGAAACUAGGUCUUAGUGAUCCGGUGGUUCUGAGUGGAAGGACCAUCGCUCAACGGAUAAAAGGUACGCCGGGGAUAACAGGCUGAUACCGCCCAAGAGUUCACAUCGACGGCGGUGUUUGGCACCUCGAUGUCGGCUCAUCACAUCCUGGGGCUGAAGCAGGUCCCAAGGGUAUGGCUGUUCGCCAUUUAAAGUGGUACGCGAGCUGGGUUUAGAACGUCGUGAGACAGUUCGGUCCCUAUCUACCGUGGGCGUUGGAGACUUGAGGGAAGCUGUUCUUAGUACGAGAGGACCGGAAUGGACACACCUCUGGUGUUUCGGUUAUGACGCCAGUCGUAUUGCCGAGUAGCUAUGUGUGGAAAGGAUAACCGCUGAAAGCAUCUAAGCGGGAAGCCCCUCCCAAGAUUAGGUCUCCCUGACAGUUUAACUGUCCUAAAGAUCCCUCGGAGACUACGAGGUUGAUAGGCACGGUGUGGAAGAGUAGUGAUACUUGAAGCUAACGUGUACUAAUUGAUCGUGAGGCUUGACCAU